CAGUAGCCACGGGAAAACGAAGGGGGCUAGCGUUGUUCGGAAUUACUGGGCGUAAAGGGCGCGUAGGCGGCCAUUCAAGUUAGAUGUGAAAGCCCUGGGCUCAACCUAGGAAUUGCAUCUGAUACUGUUUGGCUUGAGUUCGGGAGGGGUGAGUGGAAUUCCCAGUGUAGAGGUGAAAUUCGUAGAUAUUGGGAAGAACACCAGUGGCGAAGGCGGCUCACUGGACCGACACUGACGCUGAGGCGCGAAAGCGUGGGGAGCAAACAAGAUUAGAUACCCCAGUAGUCCCUGUCUCUUAUAC
rnacentral:rRNA from 1 species